AUGAACAUCCGCGUGCGAGUUCUCGAGGCCACCCAUGUCCGGCCGGAGAUGCCCGGGCACACCACAGUCCACCAGCCCGCCGCCGUCAGUCUCUCUCUCUUCGACAGUCUGUUCCUCGCGCUCCCACCGAUCCAGCGGCUCUUCUUCUAUGAUGGCGAGGACGUCCCGCCCUUCUCGGAGCUCGUCGGCUCGCUGCGGUCCUCCCUCGCUGCCACGCUCGCCACCUUCACUCCGCUCGCCGGGAGGAUCGCGGCCUGGCCCGACGGCGACCUCGUCAUCGACUGUUCCCCUGAUGCUCUCCACCCCGGCGUCAGGUUCGUUGUGGCCGAGUACUCCGGCGACGCUGCCGACAUGUGCAGGCUCGCCCGGGACGCCGAGCAGGACACCGAGGCGUUUGUGCAGCUCGUCCCGGAGCUCGAGGUGUGCAUGCUGCCGGCGCCCGUGCUCGCCGUCCAGGUCACGCGGCCGGCACAAGCACGGGGAGACGACGAGGGAGCGGGCGCCGUGGCAGUCGGAGUGUCGAUGCACCACGCGGUGGCGGACGGCCAGUCGCUGUGGCAGUUCAUGAGGGCGUGGGCCGGUGCGUCACGGGCGGGCUCGCAAAGCAGCGACGGGGCCGCCGCCGACAUUCGACAGGCGGAGAUCCUGCGGCACCCCAAAGCAGAGGCGGCUGCGCGCGAGUUCACCCGCCUCUCGGCGCCGGAUCUGCCCAGAGUUAACACGCUGCCGGAGCCUGACUGGACGCAGCAGCGCAGGCGGACUUACCUGCUCACCGCCUCCCAAAUCCAGUCGCUGAAACGCCGCAUCAUGCAACAAAGAUAGUCCGUUGCCGGAGACAACCAGCCGGAGCCCCUGACCACCGCGUCCCUGCUCUGGACGUCCAUCGCCCGCGCCAAAUACCCGAACCACGCGACCGUUGCCGCCGCGGACGACGACGACGCCUACUUCGUGUUCCCCGCGGAAUGCCGCGGGCGCCUGCGCCCGCCUCUGGACCCGGGCUACUUCGGUAACUGCGUCAAGGUCUGCUACGCGCGGGCCAGCACGGGCGACCUCUGCGGCCACGACGAAGGCGGCGCGCUCGCACGCGCGGCGGAGUCCGCCGCGCGGCAUGCGAUCCGUGAGAACGUGGAAGGGGAGGACCCGCUGGGCGAUGCCGACCGGUGGGCGGAGACCAUCCGGGGCGUCCCGCAGGACAGGCUGGCUAGGCAGGGGUCGUUGCACCGGUUCAUGGCGUACGAGGUGGACUUCCGGUGGGGGGAGCCGAGUCGGGUGGAGAUCGUGUCCACCUUCAGCGCCGAGAUGGCGAUGCUGGCCGGAGCGCGUGGCGGCGCGGUGCAAGUGUCGGUGGCGCUUGGCCGGGAGCACAUGGACGGCUUCGAGGCCAGCUUCGUGUCGCAGGCAUCGGCAUGA
rnacentral:rRNA from 1 species